AACAAAAAUAAUUAAUAUUAAACCAACAAAAGAAAUCACUAGAAGCCUAAAGAAAAGGGGGGGAAGAUGAGGCCGAUGCCGAUGGAAUUCGUGGCGGACCCAGACGACCAAGGUUCAGCCAUGGAAGUCGACGAUGUUGACACACCGGAGAUCUUCGGCGAAGGCGUCGUCGCUUCCGACAAUUUUGAUGACUCCGAUAUCGACUAAAAAAACAAAGAAGAAUCGGUCCUCGGGUUCAACUACAUAAUACAAAUUCCACCUCUGAACUUCAUUUUUCCUUCAAAAUAAAGCUUCGAUUUGAUCUCUUUUAGUGAGACAAAUGGCUGAAAAUCUUAUGCAUGCUUUACAAUAUAACAGCUAUGGUGGAGGCGUUGUUGCUUUGAAGCAUGUUGAAGUUCCGAUCCCAACUCCAAAUAAAGACUGGUCAAGCUAUGGCAAGUGCUCUCAAUGUUGUACAAACAUCUCAUUCAGUAUGGGGAUUUAAUGCUUCUAAUGAAACAUGCUGAACUGCAACAAGUUUGACAAGGAACUGAACAAGUAAGUUGCUAUUAAAGUUAUUGAUUUAGAAGAAUCGUAAGUGGAUACCUUUGUUAUAUUUUCUUUGAUUUAUUCCUCAUUAAAGUGUCUUGUAGCAGGUGCUUGCUAUGAGCAGCAAAGUAUGAAUGAAUGUGAUUAUCAACUUUACAAAUAUACAUAGUAAAGUUUAAAGUAUGAAUCGAAUUGCUAUGAGCAGCAAAUUAAGCGAUAAAACAAAGUCACACCAAAUUGCUAUGAGCAGCAAAGAAAAUUUUUUUAAUUGCAGAAAACCAACUUCCCUUCUUUCCCAUACUGCCAGAAAAUUUAGGGACCGCACGACUUGUGGUUGAUUUCGAUAGGUGGUGGACUGGUGAGGAAUCUGUGAAUGUUCUCUUAGAAGCCGCAGGCCAAGACAACCGUAUUUUCUUUUUCUAUUUCCCACACUUGGGUAUGAUAAUGGUAGCAUUGGAGUUGAGGUUCUCACACCGAAAAAGGUGAAUAAAAUCACAAGUUUCCCUCUCAUUAUCAUUUCCCUAAAAUGAAAUCAUUUUGACUUCUUUUUAUGCAAGACUUUCGUGAUACAAUCCCAUUUAUCAUUCAUACAUACCUACGUGUAUAUAUAUAUUAGAUUAUAUACAUGCACGACAUGAAUGAAAUUGAUAUAAUAAUUAAAUAUGGUAAUACUUGAGUUAUUAAAAACUAUAAUAUUUUGAGUUUGAGUCCUAUAAAUAUAUUUUGAGAAAUUAUUUAGUCAAUUGCUGGUGGAGUUUUUACAGCGUUGAAAUACUAUCAUGUGUCCUAAAAAAAAUUAAACAUAAAUUAAAACAAGCAUGUGCCAUGAACUAAAUCUUUGUUUUGAGCAGGUAAGUCCAUGGAACAAUUUUUUAUCCUUGUAGUUCAUGUUUUAUUUUGAUUUUUCUGUGAUUAAACUCUAGUACUCAG